UUGGAGGGCAAGUCUGGUGCCAGCAGCCGCGGUAAUUCCAGCUCCAAUAGCGUAUAUUAAAGUUGUUGCAGUUAAAAAGCUCGUAGUUGAACUUCGGGAUCAAUGGAUUGGUCAUGCCGUUGGUAUGUACUGGUCAUAUUGGUUCUCACCUUCUAAGGAACCAUAAUGUCAUUCAUUUGAUGUUUUGGGGAAUUAGGGCUGUUACCUUGAAAAAAUUAGAGUGUUUAAAGCAGGCUAACGCUUGAAUACAUUAGCAUGGAAUAAUGAAAUAGGACAUCGCAUUCUAUUUUGUUGGUUUCUAGGAUCGAUGUAAUGAUUAAUAGGGAUAGUUGGGGGCAUUAGUAUUCAAUUGUCAGAGGUGAAAUUCUUGGAUUUAUUGAAGACUAACUACUGCGAGAGCAUUUGCCAAGGAUGUUUUCAUUAAUCAAGAACGAAAGUUAGGGGAUCGAAGACGAUCAGAUACCGUCGUAGUCUUAACCAUAAACUAUGCCGACUAGGGAUCGGAUGAUGUUGAUUUUUUAAUGACUCAUUCGGCACCUUACGGGAAAC
rnacentral:rRNA from 1 species